rnacentral:rRNA from 1 species
ACGCUGGCGGCAUGACCUAACACAUGCAAGUCGAACGGNGAUUAUUUCGGUAAUCUUAGUGGCGAACGGGUGAGUAACGCGUAGGCAACCUGCCUUUAGUGGGACAACAUCCCGAAAGGGGUGCUAAUACCGAAUGAAGUAUCCAUUCCGCGAUGGGGAGGAUACCAAAGGCCGGGCAACCGGUCACUGGGGGAUGGGCCUGCGUCUGAUUAGCUGGUUGGUGAGGUAACGGCCCACCAAGGCGACGAUCAGUAGCCGGUCUGAGAGGAUGAACGGCCACAUUGGAACUGAGACACGGUCCAGACUCCUACGGGAGGCAGCAGUGGGGAAUCUUCCGCAAUGGGCGAAAGCCUGACGGAGCAAUGCCGCGUGAGUGAUGAAGGAAUUCGUUCCGUAAAGCUCUUUUGUUUAUGACGAAUGUGCAGACUGUGAAUAAUGGUUUGUAAUGACGGUAGUAAACGAAUAAGCCACGGCUAACUACGUG